rnacentral:rRNA from 1 species
GACGAACGCUGGCGGCGUGCUUAACACAUGCAAGUCGAACGGUAAGGCCCUUCGGGGUACACGAGUGGCGAACGGGUGAGUAACACGUGGGUGAUCUGCCCUGCACUUCGGGAUAAGCCUGGGAAACUGGGUCUAAUACCGGAUAGGACUUCUGGCUUCAUGGUUGGGGGUGGAAAGCUUUUGCGGGGUGGGAUGGGCCCGCGGCCUAUCAGCUUGUUGGUGGGGUAAUGGCCUACCAAGGCGACGAGGGGUAGCCGGCCUGAGAGGGUGAAUGGUCACACUGGAAUUGCGAGACGGCCCAGACACCGACGGGAGGGAGCAGUGGGGAAUAUUGCACAAUGGGCGCAAGCCUGAUGCAGCGACGCCGCAUGAGGGAUGACGGCCUUCGGGUUGUAAACCUCUUUCAGCUAUGACGAAGCGCAAGUGACGGUAGUAGCAGAAGAAGGACCGGCCAACUACGUGCCAGCCGCCGCCGUAA